AGUGAGUUUUCCGGCUGGCAAGGUACUCUCCUCUCUAAGACCACACACAUGCUUCAAUUUCUUACAAGAAAAUAGAAGAUUAAGAUUCAAGUGUGGGUUUUGAAUCAACUCUAGAGAAGAGUUUGAUUUCUUGAAUUGAAGACACUAACAAGCUUCAAGGUGAGUCUAGUUCCGGUACCAUGGUCGCGGAUCAGGAGGAGGGUUCGUGACAUGGAUGGACCCCUGGAGAGUGAUAGGACUAGAUGGUUCUAAACUUUGAUUAUAUUAUUACUAUUUUGUCGUACCUAUUUUCUUAGUUGAGACAUAUGGUGUGAUAUCCCUUUUCGAUGGUGGGAUGGAUGGUUGGGAGGGUGCUCCGUGUGAUCGGGACUCCUGA